GUAGGUGGCAAGCGUUGUCCGGAAUUAUUGGGCGUAAAGCGCGCGCAGGCGGUUCUUUAAGUCUGAUGUGAAAGCCCACGGGCUCAACCGUGGAGGGUCAUUGGAAACUGGAGAACUUGAGUACAGAAGAGGAAAGCGGAAUUCCACGUGUAGCGGUGAAAUGCGUAGAGAUGUGGAGGAACACCAGAGGCGAAGGCGGCUUUCUGGUCUGUAACUGACGCUGAGGCGCGAAAGCGUGGGGAGCAAACAGGAUUAGAUACCCUGGUAGUCCACGCCGUAAACGAUGAGUGCUAAGUGUUAGGGGGUUUCCGCCCCUUAGUGCUGCAGCUAACGCAUUAAGCACUCCGCCUGGGGAGUACGGCCGCAAGGCUG
rnacentral:rRNA from 1 species